UGGGGAAUAUUGGACAAUGGGCGAAAGCCUGAUCCAGCCAUGCCGCGUGUGUGAAGAAGGUCUUCGGAUUGUAAAGCACUUUAAGUUGGGAGGAAGGGCAGUAAGCGAAUACCUUGCUGUUUUGACGUUACCGACAGAAUAAGCACCGGCUAACUCUGUGCCAGCAGCCGCGGUAAUACAGAGGGUGCAAGCGUUAAUCGGAAUUACUGGGCGUAAAGGGCGCGUAGGUGGUUCGUUAAGUUGAAUGUGAAAGCCCCGGGCUCAACCUGGGAACUGCAUCCAAAACUGGCGAGCUAGAGUAGGGCAGAGGGUGGUGGAAUUUCCUGUGUAGCGGUGAAAUGCGUAGAUAUAGGAAGGAACACCAGUGGCGAAGGCGACCACCUGGGCUCAUACUGACACUGAGGUGCGAAAGCGUGGGGAGCAAACAGG
rnacentral:rRNA from 1 species